UAAUUCCUGUUACCUGCGAUGCCCCGGGAGGAUUAUAACUGGACUGCCUGAGCCCAAGAGAAGUUCAUGAAAUAAGAAAGAGCGUGAUUGGUCAGCGGGGCGAGGGCGUGUGUCUGGAACUCUAUUAUUGGGGAAACUCUAAGGAGGACCGAGAUUUUGCCUGCGGAGCGCUGUGCUCUGAGCGGUAGCUGGUGAAGAAAACCUGGAGGAAUGCUGAGGAUCAAACCCAGGGCCUCUCAUAUGCUAAAAGGCUUUACCAUGGAGCAUCAUGACCAGACCCAGCAUUGCUGAUUCUCUUGACAACAGCUAGGAUAUUCUUGACACCCUAUAGUGACAUGGAAAGAUGGAGGACAGAGCUCCAUGCAGUAAAUGUUUAACCCCCUGAA